UCACCGUAAGAAGUUGAGUGGCGGACGGGUGAGUAACACGUGGGUAACCUGCCUAAAAGAAGGGGAUAACACUUGGAAACAGGUGCUAAUACCGUAUAUCUCUAAGGAUCGCAUGAUCCUUAGAUGAAAGAUGGUUCUGCUAUCGCUUUUAGAUGGACCCGCGGCGUAUUAACUAGUUGGUGGGGUAACGGCCUACCAAGGUGAUGAUACGUAGCCGAACUGAGAGGUUGAUCGGCCACAUUGGGACUGAGACACGGCCCAAACUCCUACGGGAGGCAGCAGUAGGGAAUCUUCCACAAUGGACGCAAGUCUGAUGGAGCAACGCCGCGUGAGUGAAGAAGGUCUUCGGAUCGUAAAACUCUGUUGUUAGAGAAGAACACGAGUGAGAGUAACUGUUCAUUCGAUGACGGUAUCUAACCAGCAAGUCACGGCUAACUACGUGCCAGCAGCCGCGGUAAUACGUAGGUGGCAAGCGUUGUCCGGAUUUAUUGGGCGUAAAGGGAACGCAGGCGGUCUUUUAAGUCUGAUGUGAAAGCCUUCGGCUUAACCGGAGUAGUGCAUUGGAAACUGGAAGACUUGAGUGCAGA
rnacentral:rRNA from 1 species